GGGGGUGAACGGUCUCGACGGGGGUCGCCGAGGGCAGGUGGCGCGCCGAGGUGCGGGUGGCCUCGUAAAAACCCGCAAAAGAAUAAAGGCCAACAAGCCUGCUUACGCUCUCGCGGCUUAAUGACCGCGACCUCGCCCGGUAGCCCUGCCGGGGGCUCACCGACGCGGGGACACAAACCCGGCUAGCCAAGGCUUAGGCCCCGUAAGCCAAGGCGAAGUUAAGCGGGGCUUGCUCCUGGCCGCCCGUCCGCGGGCCAAGCCAGGAGGACACCCAAAACGCGGACUACGCGCGUAGAGGCCUGCCGUAGGGACUUUCGGACGGGGGUUCGACUCCCCCCACCUCCACCA
rnacentral:tmRNA from 1 species